CUCAGGGCGAACAGGUGGCCGUUGUCCGCGUUGAUGGACACGAGCGAGGCCAGGGGCAGCUGCGGGUCGUGGGGCGGCAGCAGCGAGGCUCCUUCGGACACCAGGGUGUAAAAGUUUUCUACAGACGGUUUUAGGACAAAGGGGAGAUUGUUCUGGAUGGAACACAUCAUUCUCCCAUUGUCUCCAGAGUCUGGAUCGGAAACACUGAAAAUGGCCACCACCGUCUCUGGCGAGUUUUCCGGGAUGGGGCUGGUAAUCGACGACAAGCCACAGAGUAGCGUCUCGAUUCAGACCCAGCCAGAAACCCACCAAGAAAAACAAAGAGAAACAGGAC